AAUAACCAAAUAUAAUACUUGAGCUAAGGGUCAAGUUGGUAAUUUUUCUUACAUCUUCCCCUCCCGGAGCCCAAGUAUCAUAUACGCCCCCAAAAUAAAGAGGUUUUAGCAUU
rnacentral:sRNA from 1 species